CCUACGGGAGGCAGCAGUGAGGAAUAUUGGACAAUGGGCGCAAGCCUGAUCCAGCCAUGCCGCGUGAGUGAUGAAGGCCCUAGGGUUGUAAAGCUCUUUUGUGCGGGAAGAUAAUGACGGUACCGCAAGAAUAAGCCCCGGCUAACUUCGUGCCAGCAGCCGCGGUAAU
rnacentral:rRNA from 1 species